rnacentral:rRNA from 1 species
AUUGAACGCUGGCGGCAGGCCUAACACAUGCAAGUCGAACGAGUGGUGGACGGGAGAGUAAUGUCUGGGAAAAUGCCUUAGGGAGGGGGAUAACUAAUGGAAACGGUAGCUAAUAUCGCAUACCAUCCGUUGUGCCCAGAUUGAAUUAUCUAGUCGGUGGGGUAAAGGCUCACCUAGGCGACGAUCCCUAGCUGGUCUGAGAGGAUGACCAACCACACGGGAACUGUGACACGGCCCAGACCCCUACGGGAGGCAGCAGUGGGGAAUAUUGCACAAUGGGCGCAAGCCUGAUGCAGCCAUGCCGAGUGUAUGAAGAAGGCCUUCGGUUUGUAAAGUACUUUCAGCGGGGAGACGUUACCCGCAGAAGAAGCACCGGCUAACUCCGUGCCAGCAGCCGCGGUAAUAC